rnacentral:rRNA from 1 species
UGGGGAAUUUUGGACAAUGGGCGCAAGCCUGAUCCAGCCAUGCCGCGUGCGGGAAGAAGGCCUUCGGGUUGUAAACCGCUUUUGUCAGGGAAGAAAUCUUCUGAGUUAAUACCUCGGGAGGAUGACGGUACCUGAAGAAUAAGCACCGGCUAACUACGUGCCAGCAGCCGCGGUAAUACGUAGGGUGCAAGCGUUAAUCGGAAUUACUGGGCGUAAAGCGUGCGCAGGCGGUUUUGUAAGACAGAGGUGAAAUCCCCGGGCUCAACCUGGGAACUGCCUUUGUGACUGCAAGGCUUGAGUGCGGCAGAGGGGGAUGGAAUUCCGCGUGUAGCAGUGAAAUGCGUAGAUAUGCGGAGGAACACCGAUGGCGAAGGCAAUCCCCCUGGGCCUGCACUGACGCUCAUGCACGAAAGCGUGGGGAGCAAACAGGAUUAGAUACCCUGGUAGUCCACGCCCUAAACGAUGUCAACUGGUUGUUGGGAAGGUUCCUUCUCAGUAACGUAGCUAACGCGUGAAGUUGACCGCCUGGGGAGUACGGCCGCAAGGUUGAAACUUAAAUGAAUUGACGGGGU